AGUGAACGCUGGCGGUAGGCCUAACACAUGCAAGUCGAACGGCAGCACAGGGGAGCUUGCUCUCUGGGUGGCGAGUGGCGGACGGGUGAGGAAUACAUCGGAAUCUACUUUUUCGUGGGGGAUAACGUAGGGAAACUUACGCUAAUACCGCAUACGACCUACGGGUGAAAGCAGGGGACCUUCGGGCCUUGCGCGAUUGAAUGAGCCGAUGUCGGAUUAGCUAGUUGGCGGGGUAAAGGCCCAACAAGGCGACGAUCCGCAGCUGGUCUGAGAGGAUGAUCAGCCACACUGGAACUGAGACACGGUCCAGACUCCUACGGGAGGCAGCAGUGGGGAAUAUUGGACAAUGGGCGCAAGCCUGAUCCAGCCAUACCGCGUGGGUGAAGAAGGCCUUCGGGUUGUAAAGCCCUUUUGUUGGGAAAGAAAUCCAGCUGGCUAAUACCCGGUUGGGAUGACGGUACCCAAAGAAUAAGCACCGGCUAACUUCGUGCCAGCCGCCGCAGUAA
rnacentral:rRNA from 1 species